rnacentral:rRNA from 1 species
AUGUUUUUAUUCAGCGGCCGUGGUUAUUGGCAAGAACUCAUUGAAUCUAUCGUUUGGGCUCAUAACAAAUUCAAAGUUGCUCCUGCUACUCAGCCUAGAGCCUUGAGCAUUAUACAAGGACGUGUUGUAGGAGUAACCCAUUACCUUCUGGGUGGAAUUGCCACGACAUGGGCAUUAUUCUUAGCGAGAAUUAUUGCAGUAGGAUAG